rnacentral:rRNA from 1 species
GCGUGAAGGAAGAAGGUCUUCGGAUUGUAAACUUCUUUGAUCAGGGACGAAUAAAUGACGGUACCUGAAGAACAAGCCACGGCUAACUACGUGCCAGCAGCCGCGGUAAUACGUAGGUGGCAAGCGUUAUCCGGAUUUACUGGGUGUAAAGGGCGUGUAGGCGGUUUUUCAAGUCGGAUGUGAAAUUCCCAGGCUUAACCUGGGCGCUGCAACCGAAACUGUAAAACUUGAGUACUGGAGAGGAUAGUGGAAUUCCUAGUGUAGCGGUAAAAUGCGU